rnacentral:rRNA from 1 species
GACGAACGCUGGCGGCGUGCCUAAUACAUGCAAGUCGAACGCUUCUUUCCUCCCGAGUGCUUGCACUCAAUUGGAAAGAGGAGUGGCGGACGGGUGAGUAACACGUGGGUAACCUACCCAUCAGAGGGGGAUAACACUUGGAAACAGGUGCUAAUACCGCAUAACAGUUUAUGCCGCAUGGCAUAAGAGUGAAAGGCGCUUUCGGGUGUCGUUGAUGGAUGGACCCGCGGUGCAUUAGCUAGUUGGUGAGGUAACGGCUCACCAAGGCCACGAUGCAUAGCCGACCUGAGAGGGUGAUCGGCCACACUGGGACUGAGACACGGCCCAGACUCCUACGGGAGGCAGCAGUAGGGAAUCUUCGGCAAUGGACGAAAGUCUGACCGAGCAACGCCGCGUGAGUGAAGAAGGUUUUCGGAUCGUAAAACUCCGUUGUUAGAGAAGAACAAGGACGUUAGUAACUGAACGUCCCCUGACGGUAUCUAACCAGAAAGCCACGGCUAACUACGUG